CACCACAACCUCUGAAUUGCAAUUUAGUGAUGUAAAUAAACUGAGACUUUGAUCAAUACAGGUAAAAGUGCUUGAGUGAAUCUGCAGGAGAGACUAAUUAGUAAAUACAAGAUAGCCUUCAAAAUUAUGCUUUUGGAGAUCUUGAACGUUCAUCGAUUGGAAGUAUGUGAGGAACUACGACACGAAUUUGCAAGAGCCAGUUUCUUGUGUUUCGAAGUGGUUAAUGAUCAACAGCAGUUUUUUCAUCUUCUAAAAGCAAGCUAUCAUGUGCUCCAAGCAAUUCAUUUGCAACUAGUAUUCUGU
rnacentral:lncRNA from 1 species